UGCAACCUACCUUUAACAGGGGGAUAACACUGAGAAAUUGGUACUAAUACCCCAUAAUAUCAUAGAAGGCAUCUUUUAUGGUUGAAAAAUUCCGAUGGUUAGAGAUGGGCAUGCGUUGUAUUAGCUAGUUGGUGGGGUAACGGCUCACCAAGGCGACGAUACAUAGGGGGACUGAGAGGUUAACCCCCCACACUGGUACUGAGACACGGACCAGACUCCUACGGGAGGCAGCAGUGAGGAAUAUUGGUCAAUGGACGCAAGUCUGAACCAGCCAUGCCGCGUGCAGGAUGACGGCUCUAUGAGUUGUAAACUGCUUUUGUACGAGGGUAAACGCAGAUACGUGUAUCUGUCUGAAAGUAUCGUACGAAUAAGGAUCGGCUAACUCCGUGCCGGCAGCCGCGGUAAUACGGAGGAUUCAAGCGUUAUCCGGAUUUAUUGGGUUUAAAGGGUGCGUAGGCGGUUUGAUAAGUUAGAGGUGAAAUUUCGGGGCUCAACCCUGAACGUGCCUCUAAUACUGUUGAGCUAGAGAGUAGUUGCGGUAGGCGGAAUGUAUGGUGUAGCGGUGAAAUGCUUAGAGAUCAUACAGAACACCGAUUGCGAAGGCAGCUUACCAAACUAUAUCUGACGUUGAGGCACGAAAGCGUGGGGAGCAAACAGGAUUAGAUACCCUGGUAGUCCACGCAGUAAACGAUGAUAACUCGUUGUCGGCGAUACACAGUCGGUGACUAAGCGAAAGCGAUAAGUUAUCCACCUGGGGAGUA
rnacentral:rRNA from 1 species